rnacentral:tRNA from 1 species
GGGAAUGUGGUUCAGUGGUAGAGUGCUUGCCUUGCAUGCAUGAGGCCCUGGGUUCGAUUCCUCAGUACCU